UAGGGAAUAUUGGACAAUGGGCGCAAGCCUGAUCCAGCCAUGCCGCGUGAGUGAAGAAGGCCCUCGGGUUGUAAAGCUCUUUUGUCCGGAAAGAAAAGCAUCGGGCUAAUACCCUGGUGUUCUGACGGUACCGGAAGAAUAAGCACCGGCUAACUUCGUGCCAGCAGCCGCGGUAAUACGAAGGGUGCAAGCGUUACUCGGAAUUACUGGGCGUAAAGCGUGCGUAGGUGGUUUGUUAAGUCUGAUGUGAAAGCCCUGGGCUCAACCUGGGAAUGGCAUUGGAAACUGGCGGACUCGAGUGCGGUAGAGGGGUGUGGAAUUCCCGGUGUAGCAGUGAAAUGCGUAGAGAUCGGGAGGAACACCAGUGGCGAAGGCGACACCCUGGACCAGCACUGACACUGAGGCACGAAAGCGUGGGGAGCAAACAGGAUUAGAUACCCUGGUAGUCCACGCCCUAAACGAUGCGACUGGAUGUUGGGUGCAACUUGGCACUCAGUAUCGAAGCUAACGCGUUAAGUUCGCCGCCUGGGGAGUACGGUCGCAAGACUGAAACUCAAAUGAAUUGACGGGGUCAUAGCUGUUUCC
rnacentral:rRNA from 1 species